rnacentral:rRNA from 1 species
UGCGUAGGCGGUAGGGCAAGUCAGAUGUGAAAGCCCGGGGCUUAACUCCGGGACUGCAUUUGAAACUGCUUUACUAGAGUGCAGGAGAGGAAAGCGGAAUUCCUAGUGUAGCGGUGAAAUGCGUAGAUAUUAGGAAGAACACCAGUGGCGAAGGCGGCUUUCUGGACUGUAACUGACGCUGAGGCACGAAAGCGUGGGGAGCGAACA